CAGAAUGCUGCAGCAGUUAUUUGUUAGCAACCUUUCUUCCUCGUUUCGAACAGAUUAUAAUCAUUGAGUUCGAUAGGUAAGUACCCACUGGUCUGUCGAUACUGGUCCAUCGAGACAUCGGUAGUAUUCCCGGUACGCCCCAUGAUUAAUUACGGCACCUCUGCCUUUUAUUUUCAUAUCAUUAUAAUGCAUAUUUACUGUAUAUUAUGUAUGCACCUAUUUUAUAAUACGCGUGUAUUACGUCAUACAAAUUAUAUGCUUUGCAAUUAUUACAGGUAUUAGCAGGUAUUAUUUGCAGGUAUUAGUGAUGAUUAUAAAUAGCGUUUAUAAUCAAUAUAAAUAUAAUAUAUUUCUUUAUUGAGACACGGUGUUAGGUAGGUACAUUUAUGUAAAUAAUCGUUUCGUUAUCAUUUAUGAUAAUAACUGUAGAGCCAUAGAGGCGACUUGUGAAACCCGAACACCGUAAUCGAUGCAAAGGUACGGCUAUAGGGAGCACAUAGGGGUGCGUCUGGCCGCAACGACUGAACGCAACGACUAGUCGUAAUGAGUCGUAAUUUAAGAAGCUGCUUACCGGCUGGUUUUCUAUGUGCGAUUGCACUUUGCGACUGGUGUAUAAUAAUAGUCCAAUUUAACCUAGGAUUCGGUAGUGUGCAGACAU